GGCAUGCUCAAUUAGGAGGACAGCAGCCAUCACUGUCCUCUCAAAUAGGAGGACAGCAGCGAUCGUGGUCCUUUCAAAUGGGAGAACAGCAGCCCUCAGGAACUACACACACAGCCAGACAUCAGCCAUUUGAAUCCAUGCAAAUGUCAAGACAGUUUGAACCUAUGGGAGGACAGCAGCCAAAUGGACCCUCAGAAAUGGCAGGACAGCAAUCAUCAGGGCCCCUUGAAUGGCAAGAGAACCACCAGCGAGCAGCAGCUUGAUUCUUCCAUGCA
rnacentral:misc_RNA from 1 species